CCUACGGGGGGCAGCAGUGGGGAAUAUUGGACAAUGGGGGGAACCCUGAUCCAGCCAUGCCGCGUGUGUGAAGAAGGCCCUCGGGUUGUAAAGCACUUUCAGUGAGGAAGAACGCCUGGUGGUUAAUACCCAUCAGGAAAGACAUCACUCACAGAAGAAGCACCGGCUAACUCCGUGCCAGCAGCCGCGGUAAUACGGAGGGUGCGAGCGUUAAUCGGAAUUACUGGGCGUAAAGCGCGCGUAGGUGGCUUGAUAAGCCGGUUGUGAAAGCCCCGGGCUCAACCUGGGAACGGCAUCCGGAACUGUCAAGCUAGAGUGCAGGAGAGGAAGGUAGAAUUCCCGGUGUAGCGGUGAAAUGCGUAGAGAUCGGGAGGAAUACCAGUGGCGAAGGCGGCCUUCUGGACUGACACUGACACUGAGGUGCGAAAGCGUGGGUAGCAAACCGGAUUAGAUACCCGAGUAGUC
rnacentral:rRNA from 1 species